AAUCAAGUGCCUUAAGGGUGUUCGGUGGAUGCCUUGGCGCUGAGAGGCGAUGAAGGACGUGCUACGCUGCGAUAAGCCGUGGGGAGCUGCGAAGAAGCUUUGAUCCGCGGAUUUCCGAAUGGGGAAACCCACCUUCGAUAGCCGGAACUCCAAGACCUUGUGUGUUGGGGUUCGACCAGAAAUGCGAGAAAUCAAACCGCGAGGUUUUGGAUUUCCGGUUAUCAAGAGAAGGUAUGAGACCUCCGAAUAAAAUAGGAGGUUUUAAGCAAACCCAGGGAACUGAAACAUCUAAGUACCUGGAGGAAAGGACAUCAAUCGAGACUCCGUUAGUAGUGGCGAGCGAACGCGGACCAGGCCAGUGAUACAUCAAAGACAAUCGGAACCUGUCAGGAAAGCAGGCCUCAGAAGGGUGAUAGCCCCGUACGAGUAAUGCGAUGAU
rnacentral:rRNA from 1 species